UAUUGCCUACGGGGGGCAGCAGUGGGGGAUAUUGCACAAUGGAGGAAACUCUGAUGCAGCGACGCCGCGUGAGGGAAGACGGUCUUCGGAUUGUAAACCUCUGUCUUUGGGGAAGAAAAUGACGGUACCCAAAGAGGAAGCUCCGGCUAACUACGUGCCAGCAGCCGCGGUAAUACGUAGGGAGCGAGCGUUGUCCGGAAUUACUGGGUGUAAAGGGCGUGUAGGCGGGACU
rnacentral:rRNA from 1 species